GACAGAGGUGCCGAGCGUUAGGCGGAAUCACUGGGCUUAAAGCGUGUGUAGGCGGGCGGGCAAGUACCUUGUGAAAUCCCACGGCUCAACCGUGGAACGGCCGGGUAUACUGCCUGUCUUGAGCCAACUAGGGGCGAGCGGAACAGACGGUGGAGCGGUGAAAUGCGUAGAUAUGACAUAGAACACCAAUUGCGCAGGCAGCUUACUACACAGUAAUUGACACUGAGGCACGAAAGCGUGGGGAUCAAACAGG
rnacentral:rRNA from 1 species